AGAGUUUGAUCCUGGCUCAGAACGAACGCUGGCGGCAGGCUUAACACAUGCAAGUCGAACGCAUCGCAAGAUGAGUGGCAGACGGGUGAGUAACGCGUGGGAACAUACCCUUUCCUGCGGAAUAGCUCCGGGAAACUGGAAUUAAUACCGCAUACGCCCUACGGGGGAAAGAUUUAUCGGGGAAGGAUUGGCCCGCGUUGGAUUAGCUAGUUGGUGGGGUAAAGGCCUACCAAGGCGACGAUCCAUAGCUGGUCUGAGAGGAUGAUCAGCCACAUUGGGACUGAGACACGGCCCAAACUCCUACGGGAGGCAGCAGUGGGGAAUAUUGGACAAUGGGCGCAAGCCUGAUCCAGCCAUGCCGCGUGAGUGAUGA
rnacentral:rRNA from 1 species